rnacentral:rRNA from 1 species
CCUACGGGCGGCAGCAGUGGGGAAUAUUGCGCAAUGGGCGAAAGCCUGACGCAGCGACGCCGCGUGAGGGAUGAAGGUCUUCGGAUCGUAAACCUCUGUCAGUAGGGAAGUACGGUCACUGUGCUAAUCAGCAGUGAAUUGACGGUACCUGCAAAGGAAGCACCGGCUAACUCCGUGCCAGCAGCCGCGGUAAUACGGAGGGUGCGAGCGUUAAUCGGAAUUACUGGGCGUAAAGCGCUCGUAGGCGGUAUGUCAAGUCAAGGGUGAAAGCCCCGCGCUCAACGUGGGAACUGCCUUUGAAACUGGCAAACUGGAGUGUGUGAGAGGAUAGUGGAAUUCCAGGUGUAGGAGUGAAAUCCGUAGAUAUCUGGAGGAACAUCAGUGGCGAAGGCGACUAUCUGGCACAUAACUGACGCUGAGGAGCGAAAGCGUGGGUAGCAAACAGGAUUAGAUACCCCUGUAGUC